GAUGAACGCUAGCUGCAGGCUUAACACAUGCAAGUCGAGGGACCGGCGCGCGGGUCAGUCACACGUACCCAACCUGCCCUUUACUCGGCGAUAGCCUUUCGCAAGAACGAUAAAUACCCGAUGUAAAGGAUGGGGAUGCGUUCCUUUAGGGUGUUGGUGAGGCAAAGGCUACCCAAGCCUUCGAUGGCUAGGGGUUCUGAUAGGAAGGUCCCCUGCAAUGGAACUGAGACCCGGUCCAGAAGCCUAGGCGAGGAAGCAGUGAGUAAUAGUGGGGAAGGGGGGCUAGCCUGAACCAGCCACGUAGCGUGAAGGAUGAAGGGUUAUUGGUGGUCAACAUCUUUUAUAGAAGAAUAGGUACUAUAUGAAUAAGGAUCGGCUAACUCCGUGCCAGCAGCCGCGGUAAUAC
rnacentral:rRNA from 1 species